rnacentral:rRNA from 1 species
AUUAAAUUUUAUUUAUUAAAAUAAUUUUUUUUUAUUUUAAUUUAUUAAAAAUAAUUAUAUAAUUAAUAGUUUUAGUAUUGUUUAAAGAAUAAAUAAUUUUUAUUAUAGUGUAUUAGUAUUGUGAAAGAAAAUUGAAAUAUAUUGAAAAAUUUUUAUUAUAAAAGAAAAUUUAAUUUAUUGUACCUUUUGUAUCAGGGUUUAUCAAAUAAACAAUAAAAAUUUAUUUUUCUCGAUUUUAAAAGAGUUAAUUAAUUUAUAAAGUUAAUGUGAUAAAAUUAUUUUAAAAAAUUAAUUAGAAAUGAAAUGUUAUUCGUUUUUAAAGGUAUCUAGUUUUUUAAGAAAUGAAUUUAAUUCAUAAAUUUUAAAUUAUUUAUUUAAUUAUUUAAUUAAAUAAUUUUUUAAUUUAAAUAUUUUAUGGGAUGAGCUAUAAAAUAUUUUUAAAAAAUUUUAAAUAUAUAUUUAAUAAAUGUAAGCUUAGAAUUAGUUAUCAUUAAUAAAUUUGUUAUAAAUUAUUUUUUUUGUUAUAUUAUUUAUUUUAUUUUUAUUUUUUAUUAAAAUUUUAAUUUUAAUUUUUAAAAUUAAAUAAUAAUGAUAAAAUUAGUAUAUUAUUUUUGUAUAAAUAUAUUUUUAUGAAAAGUUUUUAUAAAGAACUUGGCAAAAUUUAUAUUCGCCUGUUUAACAAAAACAUGUCUUUUUGAAUUUUUUUUAAAGUCUGACCUGCCCAAUGAAUUUUUAAUGGCCGCAGUAUUUUGACUGUGCAAAGGUAGCAUAAUCAUUAGUUUUUUAAUUGAAGGCUGGAAUGAAUGGUUGGACGAGAUAUAAGCUGUUUCAUAAAAAUUUAUAGUAGAAUUUUAUUUUUUAGUCAAAAAGCUAAAAUUUAUUUAAAAGACGAGAAGACCCUAUAAAUCUUUAUAUUUUGUUUAUUUAAUUUAUUUAGAAUUUAUUAAUUUUAAUAAUUUAAAAUAUUUUAUUGGGGUGAUAUUAAAAUUUAAUAAACUUUUAAUUUUUGUUAAACAUUAAUUAAUGAAUUAUUGAUCCGUUUAUUACGAUUAAAAAAUUAAGUUACUUUAGGGAUAACAGCGUAAUUUUUUUGAAGAGUUCAUAUCGAUAAAAAAGAUUGCGACCUCGAUGUUGGAUUAAGAUAUAAUUUUAGGUGUAGAAGUUUAAAAUUUAAGUCUGUUCGACUUUAUAUUCUUACAUGAUCUGAGUUCAAACCGGCGUAAGCCAGGUUGGUUUCUAUCUUUAGAAAAUUAAUAUAUUUUAGUACGAAAGGACCAAAUAUGUAAAUAAUUAUAUUUUUAAAAAGAAUUUUAUUAAUAUU